rnacentral:rRNA from 1 species
UACGGAGGGGGCUAGCGUUGCCCGGAAUUAUUGGGCGUAAAGGGCGCGUAGGCGGCGAUUCAAGUGACGGGUGAAAUCCCUCGGCUUAACCGAGGAGCUGCCUGUCAGACUGGGUUGCUUGAGACCGGGAGAGGCGAGUGGAAUUCCCAGUGUAGCGGUGAAAUGCGUAGAUAUUGGGAGGAACACCAGUGGCGAAGGCGGCUCGCUGGACCGGAACUGACGCUGAGGCGCGAAAGCGUGGGGAGCAAACAGG